UGCCCUCUAGAUGGGGACAACAUUCCGAAAGGGGUGCUAAUACCGAAUGUGACAGCAAUCUCGCAUGAGGAUGCUGUGAAAGAUGGCCUCUAUUUAUAAGCUAUCGCUAGAGGAUGGGCCUGCGUCUGAUUAGCUAGUUGGUGGGGUAACGGCCUACCAAGGCGAUGAUCAGUAGCCGGUCUGAGAGGAUGAACGGCCACAUUGGGACUGAGACACGGCCCAGACUCCUACGGGAGGCAGCAGUGGGGAAUCUUCCGCAAUGGGCGAAAGCCUGACGGAGCAAUGCCGCGUGAGUGAUGAAGGAAUUCGUUCCGUAAAGCUCUUUUGUUUAUGAC
rnacentral:rRNA from 1 species